CCAACGGCUCUUUUAAGAGCCACCCACCCCUUCCUGAAGGGAGCUG
rfam:Alligator mississippiensis ScZkoYb_5, whole genome shotgun sequence.